rnacentral:pre_miRNA from 1 species
AUCGAGGGCAAUCUGUCUUUAAACAGGGAUCAAUUACUCUAAAGAAAUGCAUCCUAGAUAGCUUUUCCUUGAAGUCAAGCAUCUUGU